GGGCUCUUUGCUUGUUCAUGCUUUCCUUUCUCGAAGGGGCCCCAGUGACGGAGCCAUUCACGAGCCGGGGCCAUAAAUGCGCGGGUCGAGCGGCACUUCAAACACGUUUCUCAGUAAUCAUUGACUAGAGAUAAGCCAAAAUGCCAGGAACAAAAGGUAAUAAGCAGGACAAGAAGUCAGCUACCAAGCAACCUCAGAGUCCUAAAGAGCAGCCGAAGAAAGCUGAUCAGAAAGGAGACGACAACAAGAAGCAAGGAGGACAGCCGAAGGGAGAGAAGCAAUAACUUCCAGGCGUUUGUGAAGAUGGCGCUGGAGACUCUGCUGGGUUCCUGCCGCCGUAAACACGGUGGUGCCCGGGGCAAACAGGGCUGAUACCCCCCCACUUCCUCACCCCUUUAGCACUUCUUCCUCACCCCUCAGCCUGCAGACCGGGCUCCCACCGAUGCAGAAAGGGAACCUGAUCUCCAUCCAUCACCAUCUGUUCUCCCCCCUCCUUAUCCUCUCUGGUUUAUGGGAUGCUCAGGAUCAGACUUCAGGUGAAACCGGACUUCUGAUCUGAGCAUAAAAAUUAUUUUGUCACCCCCAAACAAUCCUCCCCUGACUCCCCCCCCUCCCCCACCAUCGACUGUCUAACAGUCCAUACAUUGUGUUGUAAAUAAUAACUCAAAUAAAACUAUUUCUUACAACA